UACGGAGGGGGCUAGCGUUGUUCGGAAUUACUGGGCGUAAAGCGCACGUAGGCGGCUUUGUAAGUUAGAGGUGAAAGCCCGGGGCUCAACUCCGGAAUUGCCUUUAAGACUGCAUCGCUAGAAUUGUGGAGAGGUAAGUGGAAUUCCGAGUGUAGAGGUGAAAUGCGCAGAUAUCAGGAGGAACACCUAUAGCGAAGGCAGCUUGCUGGGACGUUACUGACGCUAAGGCGCGAAAGCGUGGGGAGCGAACAGG
rnacentral:rRNA from 1 species